rnacentral:rRNA from 1 species
UACGUAGGUGACAAGCGUUAUCCGGAAUUACUGGGCGUAAAGCGCACGCAGGCGGCGCAUUAAGUCUGACGUGAAAUCUCCUGGCUUAACUCGGAGCGGCCAAGUGAUACUGUCGUGCUAGAGUGCGGAAGGGGCAACUGGAAUUCUCGGUGUAGCGGUGAAAUGCGUAGAGAUGGGGGAGAACACUCGUGGCGAAGGCGGCCAGCUGGACCAGUACUGACGCUGAGACGCGAAAGCGUGGGGAGCAAACAGG